GCAUUGUCCGCCAUUAGAACGAAUAUUUCAGAAUAGGAAGUUGGACGUAGCAAAAAUACCCGAUAUUCUGUCAUGUUUAUGCUCUCCUCUUAUGUUGUACGUUAGAUCGGAAAGCAACAUGUUUUCAAUAUUUCGAUGCGUGCAAUAAAGAAUGGCAACCAUAGAGCCCAACAUAAAUGUCACGUUAUUUCAAGAACUGAAAAAGAAGUACCCAGAUAUUCCCGAUUAUGUCGUCACUAGUAAGAUGCAACAGCAUAAAAAUGACAGAGCCAAAUGCAUAGCAGUCCUGGAUGGUGAAAAUGACAAUUAUUUAUUUGGACCAGCUCCUCCGCUACACACUUCCUAUCAAGAGAUUCCCAUAAAUCCCGCUGAAGGUAGGAAGAGAAGCGACUCCGGAUCUAGCGGGAUCAGCAGCACCAGCACAAACAGCAUGUCUAGCUCCUCGUCCGUGCCGUACACCAAUCCCAAUGGGGGCAAGAACAACUACCAGGGACAUUCAAACGAGGCUCUAGGCCCGCCAUCAUCGUUGGGUGGUAAUAACAUAGAUCAGUUUAUUCCGUCUUCAAGGAAUAUUUCAUACAGCCCGAGUGAGCAGUACAUGUUUGGGGGACGCGUCCCCUCAGGACAUAAUUACCCCCACGUGCCAUCCUCAAGUCCGUCUGUCCUGAGGCAGGCACAUGGUGGCAGCCACUUCACACCCCCUGCCCAGAUAAGCCGGCCCACUCCUCACUGCAUUGAAAUUCAAAUUCAACAGCGUGUGCUUCCUCAAGAUCAGUACCGCCAGAACAUGUCUGGCUAUAACCAAAAACAGCAACCUUUUCCGACCUGGUCCAGAACCAGCACAGGGAAUGUGAGUAACUGUAAUUCAGGGGGAGGGUAUAAUAGUCUGGAUCGCCAAAGCCCCAGGCCUCGACGGCCGGUUCCCCCAUUGCCAACUUCCCAAAAUGACUCGAGAGUUGGUCCUCUCCAGUUUGGGCCUCCCCAAAAGCAGUUCAUUAGCUCCCCUACAACUCCCCAGCAGGAGAAACACUCAUCGCAAAAGACUAUUUUCUUGCAGCCUGUGCCAGCUACGCCGGAGAGAAUUCCCCAUAAUUCUGGGGAGUAUGGUGUACAUCCAUCUACCAGUGACCCCAACUUGCCCCAAACGUAUCCCCCCUUAACCCAGGGGUUACCGGGUAAUCCCAAUCAACCCAAUGCAACUUUCACUCUUCGAUCUCCUCUGUAUAUACAUGCGAGCGACACAGAGCCAAAUAACCCUGGCGCGCCUGGUUACAAUCCCUAUUUGCCAACAGAUCAUAUGAAUGGCCAAUACCAUAACUUAAAGUACGGAGAACCCGCGUGUAUUCUUAAUAUAGGGGGUGCUACAAAUCCCCCUUCAUAUCAAGUGUUUCCAGUGACAGGAGGUGCUAGUGAUUCAGAGCAAAUGUUCGGACACCAAUUUCUCCCCAACCCGGGGAACCGGUGUGCGAUUUCUGGGCAUUCGCCUUAUGUGAGGACUCCAAGUUCUGAAAGUGACCGUAGGUCGAUUCCCACACCCCCAGGGGAGGACAGACACAUGGUGAACCCCCAGGUCUUGUUCCCGCCUGUAAGUAUAGGGGCGGUCACUGAACCCACCCCGGUAGACAGGCCGGUCUCAUCCUCGGGGGGAGGACAGGAGGAGGCAGACUAUACAAGAGCGCUCUUGAAAUUUCAAAGAGAGAAAAUGGAGAAUCUGAAGCAGGACUUGGAGUCAGAGCUGAGGAAGCUGAUCAAGACGAGGUCAGAGGUCAAACAGAUGGAGAAGAACAUGCUGGAGAGGAAGAAAAACAAGAGUUACAACCAGCAACCUGUACAUACCCUCCUCUCUCUCUCUCUCUCUCUCUCUCUCUCUCUCUCUCUCUCUCUCUCUUCUCUCUCUCUCUGUAAAUUUGAGAAUUUUUGAGCAGAUUUUGAAUUACACAAAUUGAACAAUUUUUUGCUUGGAAAUUAUCAGUAAGGGCAUUGAAUAAUAUCUAACUAUAUUAUUUCUCAAGGAAACAUUAUUUAUAUAUCUCUAAGAAACACUGAAAGUUUUGUUUUACCAAUAAAAAAAAUCCAUGUUUACUUUACAGCAACUGUUGUUUUAAAAAAUAAGUUUAUCCUUUUGUGGCUCUUUUAUGACGUGACAAUAUGAAGAUUUGUUAGUGUUAUUUUGCCUCGAAAAUCAUUUCUGAUACACAUACUGGCAUUUUCAAGCCUCCAUUUCAGUUGGAGGAUGUGACUCGACUGCGGGAGAUAAAUCGACGUCUUCAGGCAGACAUACAGGUCAUGACCAGGGAGAUUGACAUGUAUAACAAUGGGCAAACUCCACUUGGUGUGCUUGACCCCUUAGAACAGCAGAACUUUUACAAGAACAUGAACACUGGCCCCCAGGGAUCCAUUUAUUCCAGACCUCCCCCUCAGACCCCCUCACGAGAAACACCGCCCCCAAUUCCACCCCGAACGCCAAUUACCGGACCGACGACGGCCCUGGUGCCCCCUGCCCCUCCUCCCCAGCCGCUGCAGGACUCGGACGGGGACGGGGAGCCCUGGAAUUGCUCAGCCUGCACAUUUCUGAACCAUCCAGCCCUGAAUAAAUGCGAGUGUUGUGAAAUGCCCAGAAUGAACGCCUCUCCCCCCUCCACAGGUAGCGUGCGACACGUUUGUACAUCCGAAUCCUGCUACUGUCAUAAUAGAUGAUGGUGUCUACCUGCUCUAUUAAACCCCCAAAAUUGUUUUCUCUUUUUUUGGUCCAGUCAUUUUGAAAAUGAAAAAAGUUGAGAUGGCGAUAGUGUCGACCUUAUUUUUAUUAUUCCAUUUGACUUUGCUAGUGAAGAUAAUAAGGGUGAAUUUUUGGACAGAAUGCCAAUACAGAUAUGCAAGUAGAUUUCUUAUCUUUUCCUCUGCUAGUUUAUCAAUAUAAUUUUCUUUUUAUUUGGGAAAUUUAAUGUUUGGUAUAUUAUAUAUCGAAGUUUAAGUUUAAAUUCAAUUUUUAAUGUGAACAUGAUGAAGGAAUUAUAAAUUCCCUGGAAACUCUUUUUCUGUGAGAUAUCAUGACAAAUAUAAUUGGUUGUAUAGAAGUGCUAGGAACAUUAUGAAUUAUGUGUAAAUUCAAGGGCCUUAUAAAGGAUAAUGCUGUGAUCAAACUUCAGUUACAUGAAAUUUAAGACUGCUGUGUUAGAAUUGUAAACAAUAGAAAGCACUUAUUAAGGAUUUUUAUUUUUAAAUUCUAAUUUAUCCCACAAAUUUUUUGUUUACUAUUGAAAGACUAGGAGAACAUCGACUUUUUAACAGUGAAAGGAGAUUCAGUUGUUUUUGGUUAAUUAUUGAAGAUAAACUCCUGUGAUUUUUUGCAGCAAGAUUUCGUGAAAGAAUUUGUCAAAUUACGAAAUAUUUUUCUACUCAUGUGAUAGCUGACUGUCGAUAUUUUAUAAUGAAAAAGAAACUUUACAAUUACCAAUUUUGUGUACCUUGCCAUCAGUGCAGAAUUUCAAUUUACAUGAUUGUACAGUUUUCUUUGUAAUGUAAAUACUAUAAUUACGUAGUCUGAAUAAAAAUCUCAUCAAACU
rnacentral:misc_RNA from 1 species